CUGCGAAUGGCUCAUUAAAUCAGUUAUCGUUUAUUUGAUAGUACCUUACUACUUGGAUAACCGUGGUAAUUCUAGAGCUAAUACAUGCUAAAAACCCCGACUUUUGGAGGGGUGUAUUUAUUAGAUAAAAAACCAAUGCCCUUCGGGGCUCCUUGGUGAUUCAUAAUAACUUAACGAAUCGCAUGGCCUUGUGCCGGCGAUGGUUCAUUCAAAUUUCUGCCCUAUCAACUUUCGAUGGUUAGGUCUUGGCUAACCAUGGUUUCAACGGGUAACGGGGAAUUAGGGUUCUAUUCCGGAGAGUGAGCCUGAGAAACGGCUAACACAUCCAAGGAAGGCAGCAGGCGCGCAAAUUACCCAAUCCCGACACGGGGAGGUAGUGACAAUAAAUACUGAUCCAGGGCUCUUUUGGGUCUUGGAAUUGGAAUGAGUACAAUUUAAAUCCCUUAACGAGGAACAAUUGGAGGGCAAGUCUGGUGCCAGCAGCCGCGGUAAUUCCAGCUCCAAUAGCGUAUAUUAAAGUUGUUGCAGUUAAAAAGCUCGUAGUUGAACCUUGGGUUUGGCUGGUCGGUCCGCCUCACCGCGUGUACUGGUCCGGCCGAAUCUUUCCUUCUGGGGAAUCGCAUGCCCUUCACUGGGUGUGUCGAGGAUCCAGGACUUUUACUUUGAAAAAAUUAGAGUGUUCAAAGCAGGCCUAUGCUCGAAUACAUUAGCAUGGAAUAAUAGAAUAGGACGUGUGGUUCUAUUUUGUUGGUUUCUAGGACCGCCGUAAUGAUUAAUAGGGAUAGUCGGGGGCAUCAGUAUUCAAUUGUCAGAGGUGAAAUUCUUGGAUUUAUUGAAGACUAACUACUGCGAAAGCAUUUGCCAAGGAUGUUUUCAUUAAUCAGUGAACGAAAGUUAGGGGAUCGAAGACGAUCAGAUACCGUCGUAGUCUUAACCAUAAACUAUGCCGACUAGGGAUCGGGCGAUGUUACUUUUUUGACUCGCUCGGCACCUUACGAGA
rnacentral:rRNA from 1 species